rnacentral:rRNA from 1 species
UGGGGAAUAUUGCACAAUGGGGGAAACCCUGAUGCAGCGACGCCGCGUGAGCGAAGAAGGUUUUCGAAUUGUAAAGCUCUGUCCUAUGAGAAGAUAAUGACGGUAUCUUAGGAGGAAGCCCCGGCUAAAUACGUGCCAGCAGCCGCGGUAAUACGUAUGGGGCGAGCGUUGUCCGGAAUUAUUGGGCGUAAAGGGUACGUAGGCGGUCUAUUAAGUCAGGUGUGAAAGCGUGAGGCUUAACCUCAUUAAGCACUUGAAACUGAUAGACUUGAGUGAAGGAGAGGAAAAUGUAAUUCCUAGUGUAGCGGUGAAAUGCGUAGAUAUUAGGAGGAAUACCGGUGGCGAAGGCGACUUACUGGGCUAUUACUGACGCUCAGGUACGAAAGCGGGGGGAGCAAACAGG